AUCUUUACAUGCAGGGGAGAUAUCAUGAUUAUGAGAGCGAUUUUUCCAGAGUGAUGCUUGUCCAUGGCGUUCUGGAUGUCCUGACCCCAGGGACUUUGCCCAACACGUGAAACUCAACUGUGCAAUUUGUGAUAGUGGAGGACUGCGUUCACAUAAUCUCCUG
rnacentral:snRNA from 1 species